UCUGCCGUGAAAACCCGAGGCUCAACCUCGGGCGUGCGGUGGGUACGGGCAGGCUAGAGUGUGGUAGGGGAGACUGGAACUCCUGGUGUAGCGGUGAAAUGCGCAGAUAUCAGGAAGAACACCGAUGGCGAAGGCAGGUCUCUGGGCCAUUACUGACACUGAGAAGCGAAAGCAUGGGUAGCGAACAGGAUUAGAUACCCUGGUAGUCCAUGCCGUAAACGUUGGGCACUAGGUGUGGGGGACAUUCCACGUUUUCCGCGCCGUAGCUAACGCAUUAAGUGCCCCGCCUGGGGAGUACGGCCGCAAGGCUAAAACUCAAAGGAAUUGACGGGGGCCCGCACAAGCGGCGGAGCAUGCUGAUUAAUUCGAUGCAACGCGAAGAACCUUACCAAGGCUUGACAUGCACUGGACGGCUGCAGAGAUGUGGCUUUCUUUGGACUGGUGCACAGGUGGUGCAUGGUUGUCGUCAGCUCGUGUCGUGAGAUGUUGGGUUAAGUCCCGCAACGAGCGCAACCCUCGUUCUAUGUUGCCAGCACGUGAUGGUGGGGACUCAUAGGAGACUGCCGGGGUCAACUCGGAGGAAGGUGGGGACGACGUCAAAUCAUCAUGCCCCUUAUGUCUUGGGCUUCAAGCAUGCUACAAUGGUCGGUACAAUGGGUUGCGAAACUGUGAGGUGGAGCGAAUCCCAAAAAGCCGGCCUCAGUUCGGAUUGGGGUCUGCAAC
rnacentral:rRNA from 1 species